rnacentral:rRNA from 1 species
GACGAACGCUGGCGGCGUGCUUAACACAUGCAAGUCGAGCGAUGAAGUUCCUUCGGGAAUGGAUUAGCGGCGGAUGGGUGAGUAACACGUGGGUAACCUGCCUCAUAGAGGGGAAUAGCCUUCCGAAAGGAAGAUUAAUACCGCAUAAGAUUGUAGUAUCGCAUGAUAUAGCAAUUAAAGGAGCAAUCCGCUAUGAGAUGGACCCGCGUCGCAUUAGCUAGUUGGUGAGGUAACGGCUCACCAAGGCGACGAUGCGUAGCCGACCUGAGAGGGUGAUCGGCCACAUUGGGACUGAGACACGGCCCAGACUCCUACGGGAGGCAGCAGUGGGGAAUAUUGCACAAUGGGGGAAACCCUGAUGCAGCAACGCCGCGUGAGUGAUGACGGUCUUCGGAUUGUAAAACUCUGUCUUCAGGGACGAUAAUGACGGUACCUGAGGAGGAAGCCACGGCUAACUACGUGCCAGCCGCCGCCGUAA